rnacentral:rRNA from 1 species
GUACGGCGAGUGAACAGGCAAGAGCUCAGAUUUGAAAGGCACUUUUGUGCCGUUGUAUUCUGAAGUUAGGGUCCUGAGAAACGAUGCUUAAGUCUUCUGGAAAGGAGCGCCAUGGAGGGUGAUAGCCCCGUCUAGCAUUGACCUCAUAUAGGAUCUUAACAUGGAGUCGAGUUGUUUGGGAAUGCAGCUCAAAUGGGUGGUAUGCUCCAUCUAAAGCUAAAUAUCUGCGAGAGACCGAUAGUAAACAAGUACUGUGAGGGAAAGAUGAAAAGAACUUUGAAAAGAGAGUGAAAAAGUACGUGAAAUUGUUGAAAUGGAAGGGUAGGCCGCUAACCAUGUAGAGCCGUGUUUGGGGGGAAGAUAAAUGCUGUAGAAUGUAGCUCCUCGGAGUAUUAUAGAUGCAGUUCAUAUUCCCACCCGAGCGCGAGGAUCUCAGGUUCUACUAAAUGGUGGUCUACCACCCGUCUUGAACACGGACCA